AAGAUACCCAAGUUUAUUACUGAAAAAAUGCAAUAUUCAAAUGUGUAUGAUACAGUAAGUAGUUGCAUUUGUACAUGUAAACCUUGGUAAAGUAAACAGCAUCUCAAAGACAAAUUUAUGCCAAAAGUGUCUUACAAUAGUUAAUCAGAUCAACAACUUUUUCUUCAGUGAAUUUUUUUAGUUCUCGGGUACAUAAGGGCUUGUAAAAGUAAUCUUCAAACAUAAAAGAAACCAAAAGCUGACACGCCAGAAGAACUUCUAGCUUGCACUGCAUGAAAGUCAACUUCUCUGAAACGCUCUGUGGCACUGUAGUCUUAUUUUAAAUAUUACUUACAAAGUGCGGAUCUAUGAAUAGAAAAAAUAGUUGAGAUUUUAGUCUUAUUCCUUAAUUAGAAACCACGUUGUAUUUAAAUAUUACAUAAAUUUCAAAUAUAUACACAUUGUCGGAAAUCUCUUAUGAUCAUGAUAUGGCAAGUUAGCCAGGACUAUCCAAGUAAAAAAUGACUGAGCUAUCUUAUUCAGUUAGAUUUUACAUGACAUUAUUUAAAAGAACUGAAAUUACAUUGAUACUACUCUAGGUAAAAAUCAGAGCCAACAGUUUGGAAGAUUUUUCAAUACAAAAUUCUGAGUCAUCUAAAUAGAACACAAAAUUAAAAGGUGAUCCAAAUUUUUUUUCAUUAUUAACAGAAAAAAACAUCCUGCGGUUAGAAUCUUGUUAGCUUUAGACUACGUUUGGUUUAAUCAUAAUUUCUCCCCCAGUAGCAUCCUAACUAGCUCACGCCAGUAAGAAUGCAAACUACAGAGAACAUAAAACAUUAUAGAGGUUAGGGCAACAAGUUAGAACAGAACUUGCACAAGAUAAUUUCCAGUGCAGUGAGGAGGGAAUACGCCAUUAACAUUCCAUAAGUAAAUCCCAUUCCCAGAUUUAAAAAGUUCCUGUGUAACAUGGAACAGCAAAGUGGUAUCUCUAUAGUUCCUUGUUGUGCUGUUGCAACUUUGUGCUGUCGUGCUAACAUUGUGCUAUCAUGAUUAUGCCAAAAUCACGCCUAUACAAAUUUCUGAUAAAUGUGGUUGCCAAUGUCAAUAUUAGAGAAAAAUUGUCAAUUAUAUAGAUUUAAAAAUGCUAGGAUUAUGUAGGGCAUUCAGGAUGUGUGUGGGGAGGGAUAUAAGGAGUGCAACAUAUAGUGAUUGGGAGAGGGGCUGAAAGGACAGAAACGGGUGGCCUACUGGCUCAUGUUGAUAGACCCUGUGCUUCCUCCCACCGCUCCAUCCAGUGCAUACCAACUUGUAAAAAGCACCAGACAAACUAGCAUUUGUGCACUGUCUGCUUUGGCUUCUGAGUUAGGGACAUCACAUCCAAAAAGAGCCUGUAAAAACUUCUGCAGUUACAGAAUUGCCCUGGAAAUUGGACUGUCAGCAAGAAGGCAUCACUUAAUCACUUAGUGAUUUACUUAUCACUGAGGAUAAGUAAAGAGUGAGAAAAAGAGAAGGAUUAGGAGGAUUGCUGCCAUGCUCCAUCUUCAAACCCUAGUUUUGCAGAACCUGUCAGAGUUCUGGAGAAAAACCUGCUGAAGCGCAGAGGAGCAUUUUGCUUCCUCUGCUCCUCCUCAGCCUCCACACGCUGGCUUGUUGCAUUUUACCCCAGCAGAACAUGGGCUUUGUGAGCAUGAGGUUCAAUAUGAAAAGACAGAGGGAUCUUUUCAAGCUGCUAAAUUUUCCACCACAUGAAUUUAGGUUUGUAAUUCACUUAAACGCUUGCCAAAAGUGUCAUUGCACGCCUUUUAGACAAAGUAUGCAUUUGAACUAACAAAAAAACAACAAAUCUGUCUAAACGUGGAAUUCUGUUUGAAUUCUAGUGUCAGUGUUAACACCAAAUAAACAUGAUUAUGAAAGGCUGGCUAUGUAUUUGUUUCAACCUUUGCCCCCAAGUAAGCAACAUCAAUAGUUUAUGAGGAUUAAGAAAAAUAAAAGGCAUCUGGAAGUAUUACUGUAUUGUAAGUAAUUGUUGGUAUCACUGUUUUUAUCUCUGUCCCCUUUCUCCUGUGCAACACUUCUUAAUAGAAAAUGCGAUAGUUUGAUUUUCCAUUAACCUUAUUGCCUUCAUAUUUAGCUGUUUGUCCUGGGUUCAGCUUAAACCACGACACUGUUUGUAUAAAAUAAGUUUUAUUGAUAUGGUCAUUGCCCAGUGUAUAUAAAAACCCCUAGUUUUCAAUAGUUUUAAUGAAAAUUUGUGACACUUGCAAGUUAACUACAUGCUAACCUUCUCAGUUUCUUUUCAAUUUAUGGACACGGAUGAUCUUCGGUUAAUCAAAAUGAUAGGAUGCUUCUAAAUAUGUAUGUAUUAAUUUACCCCUGAAUGAACUGAGACAUAAUGCAAAAGAUUUAUAAGGCCCAUUAUGCCAUGUAGGUGUUCGCAGUCCUACAUGGCAUCAGUGCAUCAGAACUUCACAGUCCUACUAAGUCUCUGGAUCCCAUGGCUCCAGAAAUUCUAUCUGGCAGCCUUCCCAUUCGGAGUGUGAAAUGGAAGAAGCCACAGCAAGCAAACAGCACUACUGACUUACAUUAGGCUGAUCAUUAAGUACAUUAGGAAUAAAAUAUCACCAAAAUUCUUGCCUUUCCCCAUACUAACACUCUAAAGCUGUGUUUCCCAAGAUAUUUUUUCCUUCUGAAGAACUUUUUAUGAAAGAAACUUCAGCGAUUCAGGAAUUUACACAUUAAGGUACCCAUUAACCUAUUUUCACUAUGCCCCCCAGACAUUUUUCUUUUGAGCUUUCCAUAGGACACAAUGAGCCAAACUGAUCCUCAGAAAACAACUAAGACAAGUUGGUGUUGGAAAAUGGCAUAGAAACAGCUGAUGCGUGUUUUGUACAAAUUAAGAUGAGCACUUCCAAAGAAACAGUAACAAAAAACCACUUAUCAUCCAUCAUCACCAUGGAAAUUUUAGCCUUAUCAUCAACAUUAACUUCCAUAUUCACCUACAUUUUCUUUAUAAAUCCUUUAACAAAAAGGGGUAGGAAAGAAAAAUCUAAAAGUAACCAUCAUGUCAUUUGCUUUGUUUCCAAAUAUUAGUACUCUAUCAGGAUGCUCAAACACUGUACUGUUUCUGGUAAGGAAACUGGGUUACAGCACAACAAAUUGAGAGCCUGUGCUCAAUCUUCACACAAUCCUGUUAGUGCUCAGUUGUGAAUACUGAGCUCUUAAUGCCUCCAUCUAUAUGGAGACAGACAUUGAGCUCUAAGAAGGAACUUCUCAUUAGGACGGCUAAUGCAGCAGAAUUCUUUUUUUUCCUUUUUUAGUCACUAGAAUUCAGAUCUCACACAUUAGGCACAAAUUUAGAAUAAAAAGUUGUAAGAAAUGAGAUGUGUAUAAUCUACAUGGACUUUUUGCUGUUUCUGAGAUGGAAAUUUCUUCUGUCUGAAUCAAGACACAGAAUUUGGUUAGGAAUAAUUAAGACAUUUUGGACUAAUCCUUCAUAUUUCAAAAUAUCUAGUUGCUCAUGCAGUCUCUCUAAGGGCGCAUGCAUAGAGCAAAGUUGUCACAGGUUAGAUCUGCAAUGACCUAAAGCAUUUUUUGCACAAAUUGAAGUUCUAAAGCUUUGUCAGAUUUUACAAAUGCAGCUCGCAUGCACAGUCUAUUCAUACUGGUCAUUUGUUUGGAAAGACAAUAUUUAGCAUAUGAAAAGAUCAUUCACCAUUCAUAAAAUAUAUUAUUCCUGAGGACAGAGUGUGCUUUAUACUUUAGUAAAAUAACGUGCAGUCAAUGCAAACAGCAUACUAAACAAAGCCUUGCAAAAAGAUUUCUCAGCUUAAGCAAACAGCUAGGUAGUGGCAAAACCUUCAGACAUUGUUGAUGUCCUCCAAAAAUAAAGGAGGACACACAGUGUUUCUCCAGAACUUCCUGUGCUUUUCC
ensembl:lncRNA